AUUUAAAAAGAAAAAGAAGAAGGAGACUUCGAGCCCCUACCCGGCUACCCCUUCUCCCUCAGUCCGUCUCAUCCACUCAAACGAAGCUUUUCCAGUUUUCCUCCCCAAAUCAGAGAGAAACCCUAGGUUACAUGGUCUCCCCCACCGCUGCCGCCGUCCGUGGCGCUCAGGCACCAGUUUGUCCGCGCUUCUUCAGUUCUUCCUCAUUCAACAAUCGGAGCGUCACUGCUCGCCGUCAGUGGUCUUCGUCUUCCUCGAGCUCGUGGUCGAAGUCUCGAACAGUCCAAAGCCUCUCCGUCGUCCAACCCCUCUCCAACAGUUCAACCCGUCUGCUCUUCCUCGUGCUUCUGCCCCUCUGCUCAGACUGCUCAGAAUGAAGAAAACUUGCUAACACUGAAUCAUGUUCUUCCUUUCACUUCAUCCUCAUCUAUCUCUCAACUCAUCAACGCAUUCAUACUCUUACACUUGCAUUUCCUCUUCAUUCAACAACAACAAUCAGAAUCAGCAUCACCAUCACCAUCCCAAUUCCAUUCCAAUACCCAAAGACCCCAACAAUUCUCAUUAUGAUGCUUCCUCCAUCACCAUCAAAGUCAAAGCUCCAACACCUCCAUGGAUGAAGGGUCCCCUUCUUCUCCAACCUCAUGAUGUCCUUGACCUCUCUAAGCCCAAAAACAAGAGGCUCAGCAAGCGCCACAUGGAUAAAGAAGAAGAAGAAUCUGAGUGUGUUGAUAAGGCCCUCCAUGGGAAAGAGGUCAGAGGGAAGAAGGUCAUGAAGAGAAUCGCCAGAAGGAUUGAGAGACUUAGGAGAAAUCGUAAUUCAGCUGAGACCCAAUUGAGUUCUUCUGCAAAAGAAGAAAGCUUUGGAGGGUAUUUGGAGAAAUUGGAGGAGAAUGUUAUGGUUAGGAGCAAGGAGAGAAUGCCUUGGGAGAGGAAUGUUUCUGUGAUGGAUUCUUCAGCAAAAGAUAAAAACUUUGAUGGGUAUUUUGGUAAAUUGGAGGAGAAUGGCGAUGAUGAUGAGGAGCAGGUUAGGAGGAGUAAGAGGAGAAUGCCAUGGGAGAAGGAUGAGAAGAGUGUUUUGUUUGCAAGGUUGAAGAAGGAAAAGCCCGUGACUGCUGCUGAUUUGGCUCUUGAUGAAGUGCUUCUUAAGAGGCUUAGGAGUGAGGCUGCAAAGAUGAGAAUUUGGGUGAAGGUUAAGAAACUUGGUGUUACACAAGACGUUGUGGAUGAAAUCAAAAGGACUUGGAGGAACAAUGAGCUUGCCAUGCUUAAAUUUGACAUCCCCUUAUGCAAGAAUAUGGAUAGAGCUCGAGAAAUUGUUGAGAUGAAGACUGGUGGUUUGGUUGUUUGGAGUAGGAAGGAUACUCAUGUUGUAUACCGAGGAUGCAAUUAUCAGUUGACUUCUAGAAGUUCUCCAAAGGUUUAUCUUCGCUAUAUUCAUGGACAAACUAAAAGUCCUUAUGAAACAAACAUGGUGGAGUCAGUUAAAUCCAACAAUACUAGUGACAUGCCAAGCCGGAAUGGUAACAAUAAUGCUUCCACAUCAACUUGCAUUCAAGAAGUGCAUUGCAGUGGAUCAUUGUAUGAGAGGGAGACUGAUAGAUUAUUGGAUGACUUGGGACCUCGGUUUGUUGAUUGGUGGUAUCCCAAGCCACUUCCAAUAGAUGCUGAUCUACUUCCAGAAGUGGUUCCUGGAUUUAAGCCUCCAUUUAGGCUGUGUCCACCUUAUUCAAGUGCAAAAAUUACUGAUUAUGAGUUAACAUUCUUCAGGAAGCUUGCUAAACCUUUGCCAGUCCAUUUUGUCCUUGGAAGGAACAGAAGACUUCAAGGCUUAGCUGCUGCUAUCCUAAAGUUGUGGGAGAAGAGUCUUAUUGCAAAAAUUGCUAUCAAGUUUGGAGUUCCAAAUACUGAAAAUGAAUUGAUGGCCAAUGAACUAAAGCUUCUAACCGGGGGAGUUACGUUGCUGCGUAACAAGUAUUACAUAAUUCUCUACAGGGGAAACGAUUUCCUUCCUAGCAAUGUUGCAUCUUUGGUGGAAGAGAGAGAAUUGGAACUUAAAAGUUGCCAACUUUUUGAAGAAGUUGCACGGAUGAGAGCAAAUGAAGCCGUUUCUUCUAGUGAUUAUGCACAACAAGAAACAAGUACAAGUGGAAGUUUAACAGAAUUUGAGGAAAUCCAAACGAAGCUUGAGGAUGUAAAAAAUGGCAAUGCAGAUUUAAAUGUUCAACUGGAAGCAGAAAUAUAUAGAUUGGAGAGGCAAUUGAAAGAGCAACAGCGCAAAGCUUUGAUUAUUAGCAAGAAAAUAGAGAGAUCAACAGAGGAACUAGCAAAGUUAGAUGCUGCAUGGACUCCUGCAGAGAAGGAUGCAGACGUAGAAAUCAUGACUGAUGAGGAGAGACAAUGUUUCCGAAAGAUAGGAUUGAAGAUGAGUGGUCUCUUAGUGCUUGGUAGGCGUGGAAUCUUUGAUGGUGUAUUGGAAGGCCUACACCAGCACUGGAAACACAGAGAAGUUGUAAAGGUCAUCACAAAGCAGAGACUAAUCAGUCGGGUCAUAUACACUGCGAAAAUGCUGGAGACUGAGAGUGGUGGAAUCUUGGUUUCAGUUGACAAACUCAAAGAGGGGCAUGCAAUCAUUAUCUACCGUGGUAAAAACUAUAAAAGGCCUUCAGAAAAGGUAGCAAAAAAUCUCCUAACCAAAAGAAAAGCAUUGCAAAGAUCUCUUGAAAUGCAGAGACUCGGAUCAUUGAAGUUUUUUGCUCAUCAGAAACAGCAAACUAUCUCCGAUUUGAAGCUAAAAUUGGGUGAACUGCAGCAGAAAAAGGAAGCCAAGCAGCGCAAAACUGACAACUAAUGCGUGCGUAUCUAUGCUGCCACAGUUUACAUUGAUAACUGGUAGAAUGUAUUUCAUUGUUUUGAACUUAUUCUUUUAUUUUCUGCAUAUGUCUAGGCUGUUAAGAUAUUGAGGGCUGAUUAUGAACCCUCGGAUUUGAACAUCCUCUAUGCUGAAGGAUCCUCAAAUCAUAUAGCUCUCUUACUCGAGUUCUGCUGGAAAAAUAGAUCAUGGAAAAAGGAAGAAAAGGCUUUCUUUACAACAAAGGUUGCAAGGCUACUAAUUUUUGCUGAAAAGUCCGGAUAUUGUCUAGGAAUUAGAUUAGUUUUUUUCUAAUAU